AUUGAACGCUGGCGGCAGGCCUAACACAUGCAAGUCGAACGGUAACAGGAAGAAGCUUGCUUCUUUGCUGACGAGUGGCGGACGGGUGAGUAAUGUCUGGGAAACUGCCUGAUGGAGGGGGAUAACUACUGGAAACGGUAGCUAAUACCGCAUAACGUCGCAAGACCAAAGAGGGGGACCUUCGGGCCUCUUGCCAUCGGAUGUGCCCAGAUGGGAUUAGCUAGUAGGUGGGGUAACGGCUCACCUAGGCGACGAUCCCUAGCUGGUCUGAGAGGAUGACCAGCCACACUGGAACUGAGACACGGUCCAGACUCCUACGGGAGGCAGCAGUGGGGAAUAUUGCACAAUGGGCGCAAGCCCGAUGCAGCCAUGCCGCGUGUAUGAAGAAGGCCUUCGGGUUGUAAAGUACUUUCAGCGGGGAGGAAGGGAGUAAAGUUAAUACCUUUACUCAUUGACGUUACCCGCAGAAGAAGCACCGGCUAACUCCGUG
rnacentral:rRNA from 1 species